GUUUGACGGUACAGGCGAGCAAUCAAGCUAACCUGGUCCUGGAUGUAUAAAAACGAGUCAAUACAGUUGUCUAUCAGGUGAUCGUAGAGCUGAGAGAGAGACCGGAUUGCUCUGCCAAAGCUCGGCGAGGACUCACCUUGUCCCUGCAGCUGUUCAGGGUCCUCCACCCCACCUCCGUCCUACCUGUCCCAGGGUAGCCCCUCGAUGACAUCACACAGAGUGACCCCAAUUCCGUCCUAGCUGGCCCAGGGAGCCUGCUCCUGCGCCAGUGGAAACUGUCUCUCGUUGUGAGGUGUUUGUGUGAAGAGGCUUGUGGAUUGGUAGUAG
ensembl:lncRNA